CGUGUAGGCGGCCAGGUAGGUCUGCUGUGAAAACUCGAGGCUCAACCUCGAGAUGUCGGCAGAAACCAUCUGGCUAGAGUCCGGAAGAGGAGAGUGGAAUUCCUGGUGUAGCGGUGAAAUGCGCAGAUAUCAGGAAGAACACCCGUGGCGAAGGCGGCUCUCUGGGACGGUACUGACGCUGAGACGCGAAAGCGUGGGAGCGAACA
rnacentral:rRNA from 1 species